rnacentral:rRNA from 1 species
CUACGUGCCAGCAGCCGCGGUAAUACGUAGGGCGCGAGCGUUGUCCGGAAUUAUUGGGCGUAAAGAGCUUGUAGGCGGUUUGUCGCGUCUGCUGUGAAAGGCCGGGGCUUAACUCCGUGUAUUGCAGUGGGUACGGGCAGACUAGAGUGCAGUAGGGGAGACUGGAAUUCCUGGUGUAGCGGUGGAAUGCGCAGAUAUCAGGAGGAACACCGAUGGCGAAGGCAGGUCUCUGGGCUGUAACUGACGCUGAGAAGCGAAAGCAUGGGGAGCGAACAGGAUUAGAUACCCUGGCAGUCCACGCCGUAAACGAUGAGUGCUAGGUGUUGGAUCCUUUCCGGGAUUCAGUGCCGCAGCUAACGCAUUAAGCACUCCGCCUGGGGAGUACGACCGCAAGGUUGAAACUCAAAGGAAUUGACGGGGGCCCGCACAAGCGGUGGAGCAUGUGGUUUAAUUCGAAGCAACGCGAAGAACCUUACCAGGUCUUGACAUCCCGAUGCUAUUUCUAGAGAUAGAAAGUUAUU